CAUAACCACUUGCUAACCGUACCAUAACUAAUGAUUGUAAAGACGAUGUUACUGGAGUGUGUUAUAGUCGGGUAAUUGAAAGUUGAUUUACUGUGUGGAUGAUUGCAGGGUUUGAUUUAUAGUUACAGAGAUAAGUAUCUAGUGUUUGGUGAAUCUUUGUGUGUGAAGACGUCGUGUUAUCACUGUGUGUAUGAGAAUUCUCCGCGUGUUUUUG